CUGGGUACUUGGGUGCUGAUAGCGUCUGUGAUUUUCUACCAGGUGGCCUUGCACUCAGACGCUGGACUGUUUGGUGGAUUCGGCGGAUCCAUCACGCCACAUAGCACUUCACCACUGACAUGCUCGCAUGACAACAAGUCACAUUCGUUCUCAGUGUAUAUUUAGUGCAGUUGUCAUUUGUUUAUUCUAUGCCAUAUAUAAAUUGAUGAAUGCCUUGUAAUCUUUAUUUAUGAAUAAUUUUAGUGGACAUGUAUAUGGGACUACAAUUGGAUUUGAUGGAGUUGUCAAAUUGUGAUUACAAAUGAUAAUGUGCAUGGACAAAUUAUAUUUUUU